rnacentral:rRNA from 1 species
GGGUUGUGAGGUUAAGCGACUAAGCGUACACGGUGGAUGCCCUGGCAGUCAGAGGCGAUGAAGGACGUGCUAAUCUGCGAUAAGCGUCGGUAAGGUGAUAUGAACCGUUAUAACCGGCGAUUUCCGAAUGGGGAAACCAGUGUGUUUCGACACACUAUCAUUAACUGAAUCCAUAGGUUAAUGAGGCGAACCGGGGAACUGAAACAUCUAAGUACCCCGAGGAAAAGAAAUCAACCGAGAUUCCCCAGUAGCGGCGAGCGAACGGGGAGCAGCCCAGAGCCUGAAUCAGUGUGUGUGUUAGUGGAAGCGUCUGAAAGGCGCGCGAUACAGGGUGACAGCCCCGUACACAAAAAUGCACAUACUGUGAGCUCGAUGAGUAGGGCGGGACACGUGGUAUCCUGUCUGAAUAUGGGGACCAUCCUCCAAGGCUAAAUACUCCUGACUGACCGAUAGUGAACCAGUACCGUGAGGGAAAGGCGAAAAGAACCCCGGCGAGGGAGUGAAAAGAACCUGAAACCGUGUACGUACAAGCAGUGGGAGCCUCUUAAUGGGGUGACUGCGUACCUUUGUAUAAUGGGUCAGCGACUUAUAUUCUGUAGCAAGGUUAACCGAAUAGGGAGCCGAAGGGAAACCGAGUCUUAACUGGGCGUUAAGUUGCAGGGUAUAGACCCGAAACCCGGUGAUUCAGCCAUGGGCAGGUUGAAGGUUGGGUAACACUAACUGGAGGACCGAACCGACUAAUGUUGAAAAAUUAGCGGAUGACUUGUGGCUGGGGUGAAAGGCCAAUCAAACCGGGAGAUAGCUGGUUCUCCCCGAAAGCUAUUUAGGUAGCGCCUCGUGAAUUCAUCUCCGGGGUAGAGCACUGUUUCGGCAAGGGGUCAUCCCGACUUACCAACCCGAUGCAAACUGCGAAUACCGGAGAAUGUUAUCACGGGAGACACACGGCGGGUGCUAACGUCCGUCGUGAAGAGGGAAACAACCCAGACCGCCAGCUAAGGUCCCAAAGUCAUGGUUAAGUGGGAAACGAUGUGGGAAGGCCCAGACAGCCGGAUGUUGGCUUAGAAGCAGCCAUCAUUUAAAGAAAGCGUAAUAGCUCACUGGUCGAGUCGGCCUGCGCGGAAGAUGUAACGGGCUAAACCAUGCACCGAAGCUGCGGCAGCGACGUUUAUGCGUUGUUGGGUAGGGGAGCGUUCUGUAAGCCUGCGAAGGUGUACUGUGAGGUAUGCUGGAGGUAUCAGAAGUGCGAAUGCUGACAUAAGUAACGAUAAAGCGGGUGAAAAGCCCGCUCGCCGGAAGACCAAGGGUUCCUGUCCAACGUUAAUCGGGGCAGGGUGAGUCGACCCUAAGGCGAGGCCGAAAGGCGUAGUCGAUGGGAAACAGGUUAAUAUUCCUGUACUUGGUGUUACUGCGAAGGGGGGACGGAGAAGGCUAUGUUGGCCGGGCGACGGUUGUCCCGGUUUAAGCGUGUAGGCUGGUUUUCCAGGCAAAUCCGGAAAAUCAAGGCUGAGGCGUGAUGACGAGGCACUACGGUGCUGAAGCAACAAAUGCCCUGCUUCCAGGAAAAGCCUCUAAGCAUCAGGUAACAUCAAAUCGUACCCCAAACCGACACAGGUGGUCAGGUAGAGAAUACCAAGGCGCUUGAGAGAACUCGGGUGAAGGAACUAGGCAAAAUGGUGCCGUAACUUCGGGAGAAGGCACGCUGAUAUGUAGGUGAAGUCCCUCGCGGAUGGAGCUGAAAUCAGUCGAAGAUACCAGCUGGCUGCAACUGUUUAUUAAAAACACAGCACUGUGCAAACACGAAAGUGGACGUAUACGGUGUGACGCCUGCCCGGUGCCGGAAGGUUAAUUGAUGGGGUUAGCGGUAACGCGAAGCUCUUGAUCGAAGCCCCGGUAAACGGCGGCCGUAACUAUAACGGUCCUAAGGUAGCGAAAUUCCUUGUCGGGUAAGUUCCGACCUGCACGAAUGGCGUAAUGAUGGCGGGCUGUCUCCACCCGAGACUCAGUGAAAUUGAACUCGCUGUGAAGAUGCAGUGUACCCGCGGCAAGACGGAAAGACCCCGUGAACCUUUACUAUAGCUUGACACUGAACAUUGAGCCUUGAUGUAGGAUAGGUGGGAGGCUUUGAAGUGUGGACGCCAGUCUGCAUGGAGCCGACCUUGAAAUACCACCCUUUAAUGUUUGAUGUUCUAACGUUGGCCCCUUACCGGGGUUGCGGACAGUGUCUGGUGGGUAGUUUGACUGGGGCGGUCUCCUCCUAAAGAGUAACGGAGGAGCACGAAGGUUGGCUAAUCCGGUCGGACAUCAGGAGGUUAGUGCAAUGGCAUAAGCCAGCUUGACUGCGAGCGUGACGGCGCGAGCAGGUGCGAAAGCAGGUCAUAGUGAUCCGGUGGUUCUGAAUGGAAGGGCCAUCGCUCAACGGAUAAAAGGUACUCCGGGGAUAACAGGCUGAUACCGCCCAAGAGUUCAUAUCGACGGCGGUGUUUGGCACCUCGAUGUCGGCUCAUCACAUCCCGGGCUGAAGUAGGUCCCAAGGGUAUGGCUGUUCGCCAUUUAAAGUGGUACGCGAGCUGGGUUUAGAACGUCGUGAGACAGUUCGGUCCCUAUCUGCCGUGGGCGCUGGAGAACUGAGGGGCUGCUCCUAGUACGAGAGGACCGGAGUGGACGCAUCACUGGUGUUCGGGUUGUCAUGCCAAUGGCACUGCCCGGUAGCUAAAUGCGGAAGAGAUAAGUGCUGAAAGCAUCUAAGCACGAAACUUGCCCCGAGAUGAGUUCUCCCUGACUCCUUGAGAGUCCUGAAGGAACGUUGAAGACGACGACGUUGAUAGGCCGGGUGUGUAAGCGCAGCGAUGCGUUGAGCUAACCGGUACUAAUGAACCGUGAGGCUUAACCUUACAACGCCGAAG